UUAAGUUCAGCGGGUAUCCCUACCUGAUCCGAGGUCAACCUCUCUAGUUUGGACUAAAUGGGGGGUCCGAUAGCUCGGAACAUGACUUGGAGAAGACUAAUUUAGCGUUUUAAAACACUCCUGGAGUCUAUUACCACGGUCAACUUCCCUGGCCUAUUCAUUUCAGUAGAGUCAGACAAAGUAGUCUUAGUACUAUCCAC
rnacentral:misc_RNA from 1 species